UAUGAUACUGAAAGUUUAUUUUGUUUCUAUGAGAAAGAGAGCAUAUAUGUGGAAUGACAGUCACAUUCAUUGUUAUACCCAAACAAACAAACAAAAGUGUGUGCCAUUGCAUAACAGAAACUAUUGCAGCUUUCAUUGGAGUUGAUCAGCACACACAGAUAUAUAUAUAUAUAUACACAUUAGUUGAAACAGACCAGAAAGUCAAAUACUUCCAACUGUAAAAGCAAACUAUUCUAGCAUCAUCAAGUUUCAGUGUUGAAUUCAAAUGUUGAACAAAUCCAAAGUACACAGUUCAAAAUGUUUUUUUUAGAACAAGGAAUACACAUUUGAACAAAAGUCAAAACAAUAGUCAAAUUAUAUACUGGUAAAUAUAUAUGUGUGUGGCCUAAAGCAAAACUAGAUCUGUGUCGACUAUGCCUAUCAAUAAUACAAGACUAAUUGUAACAAAGAAAAUGAAAAGGUAAAAAGAAAAGAAAAAAAACAGCUGCAGAAAACAAUAGAGCCAAUAUAAUUUUCUAGGUACAGCUGGAAUUGAAUAUAGCUUUAGUUUGAAUUGACCACAGCUAAAUAGCACAAAACUAGAAUUGAAUACAGCUUUAAGUUUGAAUUGAGCACAGCUAAAUAACACAAAACUAGAAUACAGUUUAGUUUGAAUUGACCACAGCUAAA